AUUGAACGCUGGCGGCAGGCUUAACACAUGCAAGUCGAACGGUAACAGGAAGCAGCUUGCUGCUUCGCUGACGAGUGGCGGACGGGUGAGUAAUGUCUGGGAAGCUGCCUGAUGGAGGGGGAUAACUACUGGAAACGGUAGCUAAUACCGCAUAAUGUCGCAAGACCAAAGAGGGGGACCUUCGUGCCUCUUGCCAUCGGAUGUGCCCGGAUGGGAUUAGCUUGUCGGUGGGGUAACGUCUCACCAAGGCGACGAUCCCUAGCUGGUCUGAGAGGAUGACCAGCCACACUGGAACUGGAACACGGUCCAGACUCCUACGGGAGGCAGCAGUGGGGAAUAUUGCACAGUGGGCGCAAGCCUGAUGCAGCCAUGCCGCGUGUAUGAAGAAGGCCUUCGGGUUGUAAAGUACUUUCAGCGGGGAGGAAGGGAGUAAAGUUGAUACCUUUGCUCAUUGACGUUACCCGCAGAAGAAGCACCGGCUAACUCCGUG
rnacentral:rRNA from 1 species